rnacentral:rRNA from 1 species
GCAUGAGGGAUUUUGGCAAUGGGGGCCAUUCUGAUCCAGCCCUUCCGCGUGCAGGAAGACAGUUCUAUGGGUUGUAAACUGGUUUUAUACAGGGAGAAAAAAUUUGGCUUGUUAGAUAUUGGCGGUUCUGUAUGAAUAAGGAUUGGGUAAAUUCGUGCCCGCAGGCGCGGUUAUUCGGAGGGUUCCAGCGUUAUUCGGGAUCCUUGGGUUUUAAGGGUUUGUUGGGGGGGCAAUAAGUCAGUGGUGAAAGUUUGUGGGUUAACCCUAAAAUUGCCCUUGAUACUGUUGUUUUUGAGGUAUUGUGAAGUGGUUAGAAAGUGUAGUGUAACGGUGAAAAGCCUAGAUUUUUCCCCGGACCCCCAUUGGGGAGGCCUAUCCCUUACCAUAUUCUGACGCUGAUGAACGAAAACGUAGGUAGCCCACCGGGUUAGAUACCCUGGUUGUUUUCGCUGUAAACUAUGGGUACUAGCUGUUUGGUGCACAUUAGGGCAAUGAGUGGUAAGCGAAAGUGAUAAGUACCCACCUGGGUCUAGUU